GACGAACGCUGGCGGCGUGCCUAAUACAUGCAAGUAGAACGCAGUUGCGAACGGGUGAGUACCGCGUAGGUAACUGCCUCAUAGCGGGGGAUACCUAUUGGAAACGAUAGCUAAUACCCCAUACUGUGUGAUGGACCUGCGUUGGAUUAGCUAGUUGGUGAGGUAAAGGCUCACCAAGGCGACGAUAAAUAGCCGACCUGAGAGGGUGGACAGCCAAAAUGGGACUGAGGAACGGUCCAGACUCAUACGGGAGGCAGCAGUGGGGAAUCUUCGGCAAUGGACGGAAGUCUGACCGAGCAACGCCGCGUGAGUGGAGAAGGUUGUCGGGUCGUAAAGCUCUGUUGUUAGAGAAGCGGUAACUAACGAGAAAGGGACGGCUAACUACGUGCCAGCCGCCGCGGUAAUUC
rnacentral:rRNA from 1 species